GGGAACGGCCGCCGCUCGAGGGAACUUCCGGUUGUCUCCGGCAAAAGCGUCCGGGCGGCUGCACGCGCUCGCCGGAAAUUUUAGGACUCUCCCAGCACAGAAAGUCUUGAAUCGGCUGCAGUUUUGAAAAAAUGGAGAAACACAGAUUUCCUUGUGUGUGUCCGGGGGAGGAAUUAGGAUUACAGGGCAGGAACGGGGCUAAAAACACCGGCAACUGCCAGCAGAAGCUGCCCUAAACAAGCCGUGAAGAAUGAAUUACAGAGAAGAAGCAGUUUUGCCCAAGGAAGGAGACACACAAAAAUAAAUUAAGAAUAUAUGAAGACAAAACUGAAUAGAAACAAGGAACAAUCACGAUAAAGCAGAAGAAACGGAAGGAAGGGGCUUUUGAGAGCAAACAGCAGAGUGAAAACAAGAUCAAGGGAGAACGGCCAGGAGAAAGUCAUUGGACAGCGUGGGAAACCCGUCCCUUUCGCGCAGGGCGCGCCGCUCCUCGGCUUUAGCGGCCACGCGGCUCCUUUAAGAGAGUUUCCUCCUCGGACUGGCCGGCGGAA